UUCAAGCAAUUGGAUCUGGACUUUCAUU
rnacentral:piRNA from 1 species